UACGGAGGAUCCGAGCGUUAUCCGGAUUUAUUGGGUUUAAAGGGUGCGUAGGUGGCCUGUUAAGUCAGGGGUGAAAGACGGUAGCUCAACUAUCGCAGUGCCCUUGAUACUGAUGGGCUUGAAUGAACUAGAGGUAGGCGGAACGUGACAAGUAGCGGUGAAAUGCAUAGAUAUGUCACAGAACACCAAUUGCGAAGGCAGCUUACUAUGGUUUUAUUGACACUGAGGCACGAAAGCGUGGGGAUCAAACAGG
rnacentral:rRNA from 1 species